UGGGGAAUUUUGGACAAUGGGCGCAAGCCUGAUCCAGCCAUGCCGCGUGUGGGAAGAAGGCCUUCGGGUUGUAAACCACUUUUGUCAGGGAAGAAACGGCCUGAUCUAAUACAUUGGGUUAAUGACGGUACCUGAAGAAUAAGCACCGGCUAACUACGUGCCAGCAGCCGCGGUAAUACGUAGGGUGCGAGCGUUAAUCGGAAUUACUGGGCGUAAAGCGUGCGCAGGCGGCUUUGCAAGACAGAUGUGAAAUCCCCGGGCUCAACCUGGGAACUGCAUUUGUGACUGCAAGGCUAGAGUACGGUAGAGGGGGAUGGAAUUCCGCGUGUAGCAGUGAAAUGCGUAGAUAUGCGGAGGAACACCGAUGGCGAAGGCAAUCCCCUGGACCUGUACUGACGCUCAUGCACGAAAGCGUGGGGAGCAAACAGGAUUAGAUACCCAGGUAGUCCCUGAGCGGGCUGGCAAGGCGCAU
rnacentral:rRNA from 1 species